UGAGCAAUCUGCCUAGAUGUGGGGGAUAGCCGGCCCAACGGCCGGGUAAUACCGCAUACGCUCUCCUGGUGGCAUCACCGGGUGAGGAAACUUUCGAGGCGUCUAGAGGAGCUCGCGGCCUAUCAGCUGGUUGGUGAGGUAAUGGCUCACCAAGGCUUUGACGGGUAGCUGGUCUGAGAGGAUGGCCAGCCACAUUGGGACUGAGAUACGGCCCAGAUCCUACGGG
rnacentral:rRNA from 1 species